UGACCGAGCCCGCGCGACCGAAACCCGUGAACCUUGUCAGGCGGGGAACCGAGCAGCAAUAAGCGGUGCUUUCGGUGUGUUGCGGUAAACUCGGUCUGAG
rnacentral:SRP_RNA from 1 species